GUCCCUGUAGCUUAAAGGUAAAGCAAAAUACUGUUAAUAUUUAGACAUUAGUUCGAUUCUAAUCGGGGACG